rnacentral:piRNA from 1 species
UGGCAAUGUUUCUAGGAGGCGUUCAAACGU